UACAGAGGCCUCGAGCGUUAGGCGGAAUCACUGGGCUUAAAGCGUGUGUAGGCGGACUUCUAAGUACCUUGUGAAAUCCCACGGCUUACCCGUGGAACUGCUGGGUAUACUGGUUGUCUUGAGCCACUUAGGGGCUACCGGAACAAAUGGUGGAGCGGUGAAAUGCGUAGAUAUCAUUUGGAACGCCAAUGGUGAAAACAGGUAGCUGGGAGUGUGCUGACGCUGAGACACGAAAGCCAGGGGAGCGAACGGG
rnacentral:rRNA from 1 species